AGGGUUGCUGGAGGUAUCAGAAGUGCGAAUGCUGACAUAAGUAACGAUAAAGCGGGUGAAAAGCCCGCUCGCCGGAAGACCAAGGGUUCCUGUCCAACGUUAAUCGGGGCAGGGUGAGUCGACCCCUAAGGCGAGGCCGAAAGGCGUAGUCGAUGGGAAACAGGUUAAUAUUCCUGUACUUGGUGUUACUGCGAAGGGGGGACGGAGAAGGCUAUGUUAGCCGGGCGACGGUUGUCCCGGUUUAAGCAUGUAGGCUGGUUGUCCAGGCAAAUCCGGAUAAUCAAGGCUGAGGUGUGAUGACGAGGCACUACGGUGCUGAAGUAACAAAUGCCCUGCUUCCAGGAAAAG
rnacentral:rRNA from 1 species